CUAAAAUAUUCCUAAUUUUAGCAUUAGUGAUAUAAAUAUUCGUGAUUAACAUUAAAGAACACAAAUAUUUCUAAUUCUAACAACAAUAAAUAAACCAAUAAAAAAAACAACUUUUAUAUAUAUUUUUUUAAUAGGUAUCAACCUAGACCCAAAAAAAAAAAAAAAAUCCUCAUUCCGCAAAUAUUCAAAUUAUUUCAAAAUCAAUAGUACACCAUACCAAAUUAAUAGUCCAAAUAUCAUUCAGGAAUAACAAACACCUUUGUUCCAAAUUCGCAAUAUAUAAUCAAUUUGUUCAAAAAUGGUUUGAGGUCAUGAAUUGACCUUCCGAGGUGUUUAGUAUGUCCACGGUAUACUGAAAUGGGGUCCAAAGCGUUGCUGGAACAGUGCUGGGAAGCUCCUAAGUCAAGGGAAAAAGUGGCGGCGCGUGGCUUCACGCUCCGCCGUAAAAAAACCAGGAACGAGUGGGUCUCGAUUGGCUUCUUCCCCUCUUCCCUUUCCUACCGGCGGUGGCUUUCACCGUGACCUGCAAAGAGAAAAACGCAACAAGCAGUCGAUUUUAUUUCUUUACUUUUUACAGAUCUAUUCCCUUCGUUUUCUCAAACAAUUUCUUCUCUUUCUUCCGGUGGCCAAGGUGCUGGUGAUGGUAGGUUUCGGUCCAGAUCUGUGUCACUGUGGGGGGGGGGGCGAAUCGGGGUUAUGGAGAGGCUGAUGUUGCUGUUGCUGCGGUCUUCGUCGGUUGAGUGGAGAUGGGUAAUUAGAUCUGAGAGAGAAUUUUGUUCUUCGGAUCCAAGUGAAAUUUGGUUUUCAGUUGGGGUUCGGUAGAGAGAAAAGGGGGAUGCUCUGGUUUGCGGGUAGUGAGAGAAGAUUUGAAGGAGAAAAGCAAGAGAAGUGAGGGGAGGCGCUCCCUCUGCGAUUCUAGGCCGGGGAAGACAAGUGGGGAAGAUGAAGGGGGCGGCGGCUUCUAGUAUUGGGUGUUGAUUUCUCCGGGGGUACCAGAAAAAUUGGGAAAAGACAGGGGCUUCUGGUUCCUGUGAGGGUUCCUGGAAAUGGAGACGAAUGUCGUUGGCCAGGAGUGGGAGAAGAGAGGUUGGUGUGGGGUCCUAUGGCCGGUUCUCGAAGAGACUAUCAAAAACAGGGGCGGCGGCUUAUCUUAGAGGAUGAUUAUUUUUCUUUAAGGUUUGCCGCCCCUGUUUUCUUAUGUCUUUCCUAGUUUUCCUUUUUUAAUGUCCCCCUGGUUUUCUUGUAAUGAUCUUCCCUUGAGUGCAUGCACUAGAAUAGUAGAAUUUAUAUUUACAGUCCAAGAAUCUCAUCUCUUGAACAAAUUUAUUAUUUUUUUAAAAUUUUAAUUUGAUUAAAAAUUAAAUUUAAAAGUAGAUAAUUAUUAUUAUCUUGAUAAUAAAGAUAAAAUAGUAAAAACACACUGUAAUACAUAAUUUUCGUAUAAUUUGAUAAAUCACAC
rnacentral:lncRNA from 1 species